CCAGUCUUCUUGCCUGGAGAAUCCUGGCGACAGAGGAGCCUGGCGGGCUACAGUCCGUGGGGUCUCAAAAAAGCUGGCCACGACUGCAGCGCCUGAGCUGGCAGCAAGCAUCUGUUACCUGUUUGCCCACCCGUGAAUCCAUCCACCCAUCCGUCCAGGUAUCAUCCCGCUAUCAGGCAGCCUCUAGGCCUGCGCCUCGCCUGUCCGCCUACCUGAUCAGUACAUCGAACACUUGGAGCUUGCAAGCCGUGAGCAGGACCUGACCGUGAAGGAGGGCCACAGUCAGGCUACAACGUGUCUGACCGAUCGCUUGUGACCCCCAUGGACGGCAGCGAGGCGUGGGGAAGGGGCCCGGGACUGUCAGAAACGCCCCGCCCAUCAGGGAGCCUUCUUCUGCAGGGGAGAGUUGGCUUCAGGCUCCAGCUUGCACAAGGCUUGCUCCAGGGAAGAACAAGUCGGUGAGGGUUAAGCAGAAAAGCUCUCUCAGCAGAGAAAACCCAAUGUGCCACAGUCAAGGGGUGUGUGGUAGCUCCCCACGGUGCCCACGUCGAGGCCACAAGCCCUGGGACCUUGAGGUGAGGCUGUGUGUGGACUUGGGCGCUCUCUGCAGGACACACACUGUCCAUGCCGCUCACCACACACCUCACAGGACAGCCUAACCUCCCCGCGGCUCUCGUAACAAAGGGGCUUUCCCCGGACACGUGGGGCACAGGGUGGUGUGAGCCCUGUCAGCCUCAAACACCCACAUGGACCCCGCCCCAGCCCUGCCAGCUGUGUUCAAAAAUGAUGAGGCUCACGUCCUGACCCCCAGAAUGUGCGAACGAGGCCUUCCGUGGAAAUAAAACGUGAGCCCUGUCAGCCUCAAACACCCACAUGGGCCCCACCCCAGCCCUGCCAGCUGUGUUCAAAAAUGAUGAGGCUCACGUCCUGACCCCCAGAAUGUGCGAACGAGGCCUUCCAUGGAAAUAAAAUGUUUUCGUAGA